UAUGUAGUGUUCUGUGUUUGGUCUGUAGUGUUCUGUGUUUGGUCUGUAGUGUUCUGUGUUUGGUCUGUAGUGUUCUGUAUUUGGUUUGUAGUGUUCUGUGUUUGGUCUGUAGUGUUCUGUGUUUGGUCUGUAGUGUUCUAUAGUGUUCUGUGUUUAGUAUGUAGUGUUCUGUGUUUAGUAUGUAGUGUUCUGUGUUUGUUCUGUAGUGUUCUGUGUUUGUUCUGUAGUGUUCUGUGUUUAGUAUGUAGUGUUCUGUGUUUGUUCUGUAGUGUUCUGUGUUUAGUAUGUAGUGUUCUGUGUUUGUUCUGUAGUGUUUUGUGUUUAGUAUGUAGUGUUCUGUGUUUAGUAUGUAGUGUUCUGUGUUUGUUCUGUAGUGUUCUGUGUUUGUUCUGUAGUGUUCUGUGUUUAGUAUGUAGUGUUCUGUGUUUGUUCUGUAGUGUUUUGUGUUUAGUAUGUAGUGUUCUGUGUUUAGUAUGUAGUGUUCUGUGUUUGUUCUGUAGUGUUCUGUGUUUGUUCUGUAGUGUUCUGUGUUUAGUAUGUAGUGUUCUGUGUUUGUUCUGUAGUGUUUUGUGUUUAGUAUGUAGUGUUCUGUGUUUAGUAUGUAGUGUUCUGUGUUUGUUCUGUAGUGUUCUGUGUUUAGUAUGUAGUGUUCUGUGUUUGUUCUGUAGUGUUCUGUGUUUAGUAUGUAGUGUUCUGUGUUUAGUAUGUAGUGUUCUGUGUUUAGUAUGUAGUGUUCUGUGUUUAGUAUGUAGUGUUCUGUGUUUGUUCUGUAGUGUUCUGUGUUUGUUCUGUAGUGUUCUGUGUUUAGUAUGUAGUGUUCUGUGUUUGUUCUGUAGUGUUCUGUGUUUGUUCUGUAGUGUUCUGUGUUUAGUAUGUAGUGUUCUGUGUUUGUUCUGUAGUGUUCUGUGUUUAGUAUGUAGUGUUCUGUGUUUAGUAUGUAGUGUUCUGUGUUUGUUCUGUAGUGUUCUGUGUUUGUUCUGUAGUGUUCUGUGUUUGUUCUGUAGUGUUCUGUGUUUAGUAUGUUGUGUUCUGUGUUUGUUCUGUAGUGUUCUGUGUUUAGUAUGUAGUGUUCUGUGUUUAGUAUGUAGUGUUCUGUGUUUAGUAUGUAGUGUUCUGUGUUUGUUCUGUAGUGUUCUGUGUUUGUUCUGUAGUGUUCUGUGUUUAGUAUGUAGUGUUCUGUGUUUGUUCUGUAGUGUUCUGUGUUUGUUCUGUAGUGUUCUGUGUUUGUUCUGUAGUGUUCUGUGUUUAGUAUGUAGUGUUCUGUGUUUGUUCUGUAGUGUUCUGUGUUUAGUAUGUAGUGUUCUGUGUUUAGUAUGUACUGGUAGUGGACGUGAGGUCAUGAGUCCAGUCUGGUUCAGGAUAUUUGAUCCUUUUAAAUCCCUCAACUCAGGAGGUUUGGAAUGA
rnacentral:lncRNA from 1 species